rnacentral:rRNA from 1 species
UACGUAGGGGGCAAGCGUUAUCCGGAUUUACUGGGUGUAAAGGGAGCGUAGACGGCAGCGCAAGUCUGAAGUGAAAUGCCGGGGCUUAACCCCGGAACUGCUUUGGAAACUGAGCAGCUAGAGUGCAGGAGAGGUAAGUGGAAUUCCUAGUGUAGCGGUGAAAUGCGUAGAUAUUAGGAGGAACACCAGUGGCGAAGGCGGCUUACUGGUCUGUAACUGACGUUGAGGCUCGAAAGCGUGGGGAGCAAACAGG